CCUACGGGAGGCUGCAGUGAGGAAUAUUGGUCAAUGGGAGAGAUCCUGAACCAGCCAAGCCGCGUGAGGGAAGACGGCCCUAUGGGUUGUAAACCUCUUUUGUCGGAGAACAAAACCCGGGACGUGUCCCGGACUGCGUGUAUCCGAAGAAAAAGCAUCGGCUAACUCCGUGCCAGCAGCCGCGGUAAUACGGAGGAUGCGAGCGUUAUCCGGAUUUAUUGGGUUUAAAGGGUGCGUAGGCGGUCCGUUAAGUCAGCGGGAAAAUUGCGGGGCUCAACCCCGUCGAGCCGUUGAAACUGGCAGACUUGAGUGGGCGAGAAGUACGCGGAAUGCGCGGUGUAGCGGUGAAAUGCAUAGAUAUCGCGCAGAACUCCGAUUGCGAAGGCAGCGUACCGGCGCCAGACUGACGCUGAGGCACGAAAGCGUGGGGAUCGAACAGGAUUAGAUACCCGUGUAGUC
rnacentral:rRNA from 1 species